rnacentral:rRNA from 1 species
UGGGGAAUAUUGGACAAUGGGGGCAACCCUGAUCCAGCAAUGCCGCGUGUGUGAAGAAGGUUUUCGGAUUGUAAAGCACUUUCGACGGGGACGAUGAUGACGGUACCCGUAGAAGAAGCCCCGGCUAACUUCGUGCCAGCAGCCGCGGUAAUACGAAGGGGGCGUAGCGUUGCUCGGAAUGACUGGGCGUAAAGGGCGUGUAGGCGGUUUGUACAGUCAGAUGUGAAAAUCCCCGGCCGUAUCACUGGGAGCUGCAUUUGAUAUCGUGCAGACUAGAGUGUGAGAGAGGGUUGUGGAAUUCCCAGUGUAGAGGUGAAAAUUCGUAGAUAUUGGGAAGAACACCGGUGGCG